GACGAACGCUGGCGGCGUGCUUAACACAUGCAAGUCGAACGGUAAGGCCCUUCGGGGUACACGAGUGGCGAACGGGUGAGUAACACGUGGGUGAUCUGCCCUGCACUUCGGGAUAAGCCUGGGAAACUGGGUCUAAUACCGGAUAGGACCACUGCCUGCAUGGGUGGUGGUGGAAAGCUUUUGCGGUGUGGGAUGGGCCCGCGGCCUAUCAGCUUGUUGGUGGGGUGAUGGCCUACCAAGGCGACGACGGGUAGCCGGACUGGGAGGGUGACCGGCCACACUGGGGCGGAGAUACGGCACAGGCUCCUACGGGAGGCAGCAGUGGGGAAUAUUGCACAAUGGGCGCAAGCCUGAUGCAGCGACGCCGCGUGAGGGAUGACGGCCUUCGGGUUGUAAACCUCUUUCAGCACCGACGAAGCGCAAGUGACGGUAGGUGCAGAAGAAGGACCGGCCAACUACGUGCCAGCAGCCGCGGUAA
rnacentral:rRNA from 1 species